rnacentral:misc_RNA from 1 species
AUGUUGCCAACAACAUAAGCACAUUGUUGUACGAGGUUUUUCGAAAUAGUUAGAUCUUCAUCAAAUAUACGUUUAUUUUUCGGUCAAAAUCUGUUCAAUUAGUAAAAUUUUGCUCGAGUAUGCCUACCCGCCAUGAAUUUUUUACCCGGUGCUACCACCAUUGCCCUGCGACGAGAAAGGGAUGCGAUGUCAAUGUUUUAUGAGAAACGCACUGCUGCCAAUCGACGAAAACACUUUAAACUGUUGGAUCCGCCAAGGCCGGGGCUAAGUUUCUUUUUCCACGGACUUAUUCUUAGUGCAUGUGAACAUUUUACCAUCGAUUUCCUCACUAUAAAAGGAAAAGAAAAUUGCGAUCACUGCGAUGUGUUGCUGCAACUCGGUGCACGACUACCUCAAAACUAUAUUGUGCGCAACUCCCGUUUAAUGGGAAAAUGGGGACUUGAGGAAAAUUCAUCACCGCUCCGCUUUCAACUGAGACGCGGGGAUACUUUUUGGAUGCAGAUACUCCUCACAGUGGAAUCGUUCUACAUUUCAGUAAAUGGUUAUCAUUUUGCCGAAUACGCUCAUCGCAUGCCGUAUAGAUGGCUAGGUGCAAUCGACUUACGCGGUGACAUUGAUGAAAUUGUCAUUGAUAAAUAUUAUGUGACAGAGUAUCCGAUUCGGCUAUCUCAAUCAGUGGCUCGAGUUCUACCGUUUGUCUACGACUCUAGUUUAUUGAAAUGGGUCAAUGAGGAAGCCACUAGAAUGCUACAAAGCUGGGCCUCCCUGGACAAUUUAUCCAAACUGCAGAGAGCUGCAAGGCAAGUAAAUACAAACCUAGCACUUCCAUUUUACGGCCGCGUGCCAAACCACGAAAAACUCAUAGAGGGACGUGCAGUUCGAAUCGAAGGCCGGGUACGCAUGAUGCCCCAAAGUUUCAGUGUGGCGUUACAGCAGGGCCAGCAAAUUUGGCCACAGCCAACCGUGUCGUUUUAUUUUAGCCCGAGUUUUUUGCGAAAAUCACGCGAUAAAGUUGGUAAGGUAAACAUCACACGGAGCGCUUAUUUAAAUGGCUCCUGGGUGAAGAGGAAAGUGUCACACCUUCACACAAGUCUAAGACCUGGAAAAGCCUUUGUCAUAUUAAUUGCAUGUCGACCUAACUACUACGAGUUGUUCGUGAACAGAAAACUCUUGCUUGGCUUUAAGCAUCAAAUGAACCCAGAGUGUGUGGAUAUUGUUAAUAUCCGUGGAGACGUGAGGCUCUGGGAUGUAGUCAUCGAGACCACCAGGCUCGGUCGGCCCCGAUCUAACCAAUCAAUCAUCCAACGAGCUAUCAGAACUUUGCGCCAAACUCACAUUGAAUAAUUCCUGAAAAUGUUAUUGAAUAUGUGGCUUUACCCUUCUUCUUGGACGGAAACGCAACCUGUCGAAAGACAUGUUGUACAAAUUUAUAUUUAUAAGAACCACGUCGUCUUUAUUGCCUCGAUCUGGGUGCCAUUUUUGCUAUUGUUGGCUGGCGCUGCUGCUGUCCAACAAACUACUACUACGAUCGGCCGACACACACCACACGACUGCCACUCACUGUCUCUGCUCUGCGCCCUGGAGUAAGGAGUAAGGUCUAGUGCAAUGCGCCGCGCUCCAACUCAUAAAUGUCAAUGUGCUGUCGUUGUCAACUGAGCCUCUGCCCAUAAGCAGCACGUAGCAGCAGCAGCAGGAGCAGGAGCACGAGCAGAGGAAGCUCAGACAAGACCGCUCCGGACCUGACCGUCUGAAGGGCCUCGGAAAUUGAUUAUUAAAAACGAUAAUCGAUUAAGGACACAGUAUUGCAGUGCAGUACUGCCAGGGUCGUCACUGAGCAUGCUGUCCUCAAUUGACGUUUAUGUCUACAUGUGUUUAGCAAGACAGUUGACAUUGUUUUGGCAUGGCCAACAAAAAGCACCAGCAAAACAAUUCAAGCCGAAAACGUCAUCCCUGUAAAUAUUUCCCAGGGCUUGCCAAAGGAAGUAGUCUCUGCCAACGCUGCGAUUGCCAAGAAAAAAUAUUAUUUAUGGUUCAAGUUCGUACGUGUUACGCAUGCUUUGGUCCAUUUUGCUAAUGAAGUGGAUUACCGAUUGUCAUUGUCUACUGCGACGUUGGGUCCAGAGUUGGCUGGCAUCCUUUGGCUUAUUUUGUGGCUUUGGUGGUGGUCCAUAUGUAUAUAGUAUAUAUUAUUAUAACAUUUAUUAACAGCAACUAUUUUACAUGAAUAAAUGUAUGUAUUUUCGCAACAAGUAA